rnacentral:rRNA from 1 species
ACAGUGGACGCGAGCAUCUGUGGCCAAGUUUUUAAGGGCGCACGGUGGAUGCCUUGGCACCAGGAACCGAUGAAGGACGUGGGAGGCCACGAUAGUCCCCGGGGAGUCGUCAACCAGGCUUUGAUCCGGGGGUUUCCGAAUGGGGAAACCCGGCAGUCGUCAUGGGCUGUCACCCGCUGCUGAACACAUAGGCAGUGUGGAGGGAACGCGGGGAAGUGAAACAUCUCAGUACCCGCAGGAAGAGAAAACAACCGUGAUUCCGGGAGUAGUGGCGAGCGAAACCGGAUGAGGCCAAACCGUAUACGUGUGAGACCCGGCAGGGGUUGCGUAUGCGGGGUUGUGGGAUCUCUCUUUCACAGUCUGCCGGCUGUGAGACGAGUCAGAAACCGUUGAUGUAGGCGAAGGACAUGCGAAAGGUCCGGCGUAGAGGGUAAGACCCCCGUAGUCGAAACAUCAGCGGCUCGUUUGAGAGACACCCAAGUAGCACGGGGCCCGAGAAAUCCCGUGUGAAUCUGGCGGGACCACCCGUUAAGCCUAAAUAUUCCCUGGUGACCGAUAGCGGAUAGUACCGUGAGGGAAUGGUGAAAAGUACCGCGGGAGCGGAGUGAAAUAGUACCUGAAACCGUGUGCCUACAAGCCGUGGGAGCGUCGCGUGCAGCACUUGUGCUGUACGUCGUGACUGCGUGCCUUUUGAAGAAUGAGCCUGCGAGUUUGCGGUGUGUUGCGAGGUUAACCCGUGUGGGGAAGCCGUAGCGAAAGCGAGUCCGAAUAGGGCGGUUUAGUAGCGCGCUCAAGACCCGAAGCGGAGUGAUCUAGCCAUGGGCAGGUUGAAGCGGCUGUAAGAGGUCGUGGAGGACCGAACCCACCAGGGUUGAAAACCUGGGGGAUGACCUGUGGUUAGGGGUGAAAGGCCAAUCAAACUCCGUGAUAGCUGGUUCUCCCCGAAAUGCAUUUAGGUGCAGCGUCGUGUGUUUCUUGCCGGAGGUAGAGCACUGGAUAGGCGAUGGGCCCUACCGGGUUACUGACCUUAGCCAAACUCCGAAUGCCGGUAAGUGAGAGCACGGCAGUGAGACUGUGGGGGAUAAGCUCCAUGGUCGAGAGGGAAACAGCCCAGAGCAUCGACUAAGGCCCCUAAGCGUACGCUAAGUGGGAAAGGAUGUGGAGUCGCAGAGACAACCAGGAGGUUGGCUUAGAAGCAGCCACCCUUGAAAGAGUGCGUAAUAGCUCACUGGUCUAGUGAUUCCGCGCCGACAAUGUAGCGGGGCUCAAGCGUACCGCCGAAGUCGUGUCAUUCCAGCAUAUAGGGCCAACGCCUGCUGGGAUGGGUAGGGGAGCGUCGUGUGCCGGGUGAAGCUGCGCCGGAAGGCAGUGGUGGACGGUUCACGAGUGAGAAUGCAGGCAUGAGUAGCGAUACAUACGUGAGAAACGUGUGCGCCGAUUGACUAAGGGUUCCUGGGUCAAGCUGAUCUGCCCAGGGUAAGUCGGGACCUAAGGCGAGGCCGACAGGCGUAGUCGAUGGAUAACCGGUUGAUAUUCCGGUACCCGCUGUGAAGCGUCAAACAUUGAAUCAGGCGAUGCUAAGUCCGUGAAGCCGUUCCGGACCCUUCGGGGAAAGGAAAGUGGUGGAGCCGACGGACCAGACUUGUAGUAGGUGAGUGAUGGGGUGACGCAGGAAGGUAGUCCAGCCCGGGCGGUGGUUGUCCCGGGGUAAGGGUGUAGGCCGUGUGAUAGGUAAAUCCGUCGCACAUUAAGGCUGAGACCUGAUGCCGAGCCGAUUGUGGUGAAGUGGAUGAUCCUAUGCUGUCGAGAAAAGCCUCUAGCGAGUUUCAUGGCGGCCCGUACCCUAAACCGACUCAGGUGGUCAGGUAGAGAAUACCGAGGCGUUCGGGUGAACUAUGGUUAAGGAACUCGGCAAAAUGCCCCCGUAACUUCGGGAGAAGGGGGGCCAUCACUGGUGAUCGGAUUUACUCCGUGAGCUGGGGGUGGCCGCAGAGACCAGCGAGAAGCGACUGUUUACUAAAAACACAGGUCCGUGCGAAGCCGUAAGGCGAUGUAUACGGACUGACGCCUGCCCGGUGCUGGAACGUUAAGGGGACCGGUUAGUGCACUUUCGGGUGUGCGAAGCUGAGAACUUAAGCGCCAGUAAACGGCGGUGGUAACUAUAACCAUCCUAAGGUAGCGAAAUUCCUUGUCGGGUAAGUUCCGACCUGCACGAAUGGCGUAACGACUUCUCGACUGUCUCAACCAUAGGCCCGGUGAAAUUGCACUACGAGUAAAGAUGCUCGUUUCGCGCAGAAGGACGGAAAGACCCCGGGACCUUUACUACAGUUUGAUAUUGGUGUUCGGUUCGGCUUGUGUAGGAUAGGUGGGAGACUUUGAAGCGGGCACGCCAGUGUUCGUGGAGUCGCCGUUGAAAUACCACUCUGGUCGUGCUGGAUGUCUAACCUCGGUCCGUGAUCCGGAUCAGGGACAGUGUCUGAUGGGUAGUUUAACUGGGGCGGUUGCCUCCCAAAGAGUAACGGAGGCGCCCAAAGGUUCCCUCAGCCUGGUUGGUAAUCAGGUGUUGAGUGUAAGUGCACAAGGGAGCUUGACUGUGAGACCGACGGGUCGAGCAGGGACGAAAGUCGGGACUAGUGAUCCGGCGGUGGCUUGUGGAAGCGCCGUCGCUCAACGGAUAAAAGGUACCCCGGGGAUAACAGGCUGAUCUUCCCCAAGAGUCCAUAUCGACGGGAUGGUUUGGCACCUCGAUGUCGGCUCGUCGCAUCCUGGGGCUGGAGUCGGUCCCAAGGGUUGGGCUGUUCGCCCAUUAAAGCGGUACGCGAGCUGGGUUUAGAACGUCGUGAGACAGUUCGGUCCCUAUCCUCUGUGCGCGUAGGAAUAUUGAGAAGGGCUGUCCCUAGUACGAGAGGACCGGGACGGACGAACCUCUGGUGUGCCAGUUGUCCUGCCAAGGGCAUGGCUGGUUGGCUACGUUCGGAAAGGAUAACCGCUGAAAGCAUCUAAGCGGGAAGCCUGCUUCGAGAUGAGUAUUCCCACCCCCUUUGAGGGGUUAAGGCUCCCAGUAGACGACUGGGUUGAUAGGCCAGAUCUGGAAGCCCGGUAACGGGUGGAGGUGACUGGUACUAAUAGGCCGAGGGCUUGUCCUCAGUUG